UCUCCGUUGGUGAACCAGCGGAGGGAUCAUUACAGGACUCGCAAGACUCCUUCACCCUGUGAACCUCACUACAAGCACGUUCCUUCGGCGGGUGUCCCGGCGGGGGUCUUCCCUCGCCGGGGCGCACAGCCCGCCGGCAGCCUACUAUACUCUGUCACUUUGCGUUGGCAUCUCGAGAAAAAACAAACAAGUUAAAACUUUCAACAACGGAUCUCUUGGUUCUG
rnacentral:misc_RNA from 1 species